UUCAGAUGCAAAGGUGGGUGAUGUUGUAUUAGUGUUUGAUGAAAAUCUUAAAAGAGGAUGUUGGAGGGUAGGAAGAAUUGAAAGUUUGGUAUUAGGAAGGGACAAGGUAGUGAGAGGAGCGAAGGUGAAGGUGGUAAGUAAAGGACGUACAUCGUUUAUUAACAGACCUGUACAGAAGUUAUAUCCUUUGGAAGUGGAUACAAGGGUAAGUAUACAGACAGAGAUAGUUGAAGAGAUCAGUGAGAAGUGUGAGAGUGUAGACAAGGGGAAAGAAGAGAUAACUAAGAAUGACAAGGUGAGUAUUGAAGGCAGUAGUAGGAGACCCAGAAGGGCUGCGGCCCAGGUUGCACGUUGGCGAACGCAGGUUUUGUUUGACCCUAAAGGCUCAAAGGGGGGAGUGUGUCGGAUAAAUCCUUGUAAAUAGUAAAUACUUUAUGUUAUGGUUUAUAUUACUUUUAAAUGGUUGUAAAUUGAUAUCUUAGUUAGACUAUAAUGCGUUGUCUACGCUCAAACAAUAGACAAUGAACUUCCGGACGACGGAAAAUUAGAGUUUUAUCAAGAAAGGUUGUGUUUGUAAGAUUGUAC